rnacentral:rRNA from 1 species
UAACCCGACGGAAGGAGGCGACGACCGAACCACGGUCGGUUCAGCGACUGGGGUG